rnacentral:rRNA from 1 species
CACGUAGUUAGCCGUGGCUUAUUCGUCAGGUACCGUCACUUGCUUCGUCCCUGACAAAAGAAGUUUACAACCCGAAAGCCUUCUUCCUUCACGCGGCGUUGCUGGGUCAGGCUUGCGCCCAUUGCCCAAUAUUCCCCACUGCUGCCUCCCGUAGGAGUCUGGGCCGUGUCUCAGUCCCAAUGUGGCCGGCCAACCUCUCCAGUCCGGCUACUGAUCGUCGCCUUGGGUGGGCCGUUACCCCGCCAACUAGCUAAUCAGACGCGAGCUCAUCUCAGAGCGAUAAAUCUUUGACAGCCAGGGAGAUGCCUCCCAGCUGUAUCAUGCGGUAUUAGCGGCCGUUUCAGCCGUUACUCCCCACUCCAAGGCAGAUUGACUCACGCGUUACUCACCCGUCCGCCACCUUUCCCCACCUUCACUUCGGACGAAUCCUCGACUCCAAUCGUUCUCGUUCGACUUGCCUAUGUGUUAAGCGUACCGCCGACCAGUCGUUACAC